GGCGAGGCGGCUUCCCGCCAUGGGGAUACGAGAGGCUUUCACUUACUGACCCGCUGCUUUGAUCGUCUCGCCACAUACAAGUACCAAUGAUCUAUAACUUCAGGUGAUACUUGUAGCAGAAAGGAUCAGAACAAAUGUCUGCAGUCCUAUCUUCUCUUGUGCAAAGAUGGUGCACAAUUAAACAGCCAACUGGAGGAAGUUCCUUGCUCAUUCCCAUUUUUGACAACAUGCACUAAACGGUUCUUUUGAAGACCCUGACCUGGAGUAACAUGCUGACUUCAGUUCUUUGCAGAAAUGAGACCCGCUCUCGGAGCCUCAUGACUGGCCGCUUUUUGAUAUGACAAGGACAUGGCCUAGAAGAUUAGUGCGUAUUCAGGGUGCUGGAUUUUCGUGGCUCUGGAGGCAGGCGGAUUCAAGGUUGAUACCGCUGCCUGAUGUGUCAUGGGAGUACAUGGAAUAUCGAAAGCAGCUGGCUGCUGGCUGUGUGCCCAGGGACCUGGGUUAUUUGGGCAUAGAGCUCAGAAAAAGCAAUGCCACAGACUUUUAACACCAUAAAUCAGGCUUCCAGACUGUUCGGGCUGACCGGAAGUGCACUGAGAGCGGUAAACGUAAAGGAGUUGGGGGCUUGCUGUUCUGGUUAACAACGGAUGGUGCAAUCCUGGUCAUAUUACGAUCGAGGAACGUGGAUGUAGCCCGGAUAUUGAACUUUUUGCUGUUGGACUCCGGCCAUAUUCCACUGUGAUACAACACUGGGCGUUAUGGGAGGUUGUUCCUGCCUGUGGCCAUCGAACUUUGCAGCUCCUCCCAUGGAGGGUCAGACACCCUGAGCCAAUAGGCUGGUCCUGGACUUAUUUCCGUCUGGCAUAGUUUGCAUAUUGUUGUUUGAUUGUUUGUGGUUUUUGUAUUUCUAUAUUUAUACUCUAUUCUUGGUUGGUGCAGCUGUAACGAAACUCAAUUUCCCUUGGGA